rnacentral:rRNA from 1 species
AUUAGGAAUCUUGCGCAAUGGGGGCAACCCUGACGCAGCGACGCCGCGUGAAGGAUGAAGGCCUUCGGGUCGUAAACUUCUUUUAUCGGGGAAGAAGCAUGUGACGGUACCCGAAGAAUAAGCCCCGGCUAACUACGUGCCAGCAGCCGCGGUAAUACGUAGGGGGCGAGCGUUGUCCGAAGUUACUGGGCGUAAAGCGCGCGUAGGCGGUUUCUUAAGUCUGGUGUGAAAGGUUCAGGGCUCAACCCGAACAGUGCACUGGAUACUGGGAGACUUGAGUAUGGGAGAGGAGAGCGGAAUUCCUGGUGUAGCGGUGAAAUGCGUAGAUAUCAGGAGGAACACCGAUGGCGAAGGCAGCUCUCUGGCCUGUAACUGACGCUGAGGUGCGAAAGCGUGGGGAGCGAACAG